UACCUGCAGCUCAAGUAGUGAUCACUAUUAUUGGGCCUAAAACGUUCGUAGCCGGUUUGGUAAAUGCCUGGGUAAAUCGUGUAGCUUAACUAUACGAAUUCCGGGUAGACUGCCAAACUUGAGACCGGGAGAGGCUAGAGGUACUCCUAGGGUAGAGGUGAAAUUCUGUAAUCCUGGGGGGACCACCAGUGGCGAAGGCGUCUAGCUAGAACGGGUCUGACGGUGAGGAACGAAGCCCUGGGGCGCAAACCGGAUUAGAUACCCGGGUAGUCCAGGGUGUAAACGCUGCUUGCUUGAUGUUAGUUGGGCUCCGAGCCCAAUUAGUGUCGGAGAGAAGUUGUUAAGCAAGCUGCCUGGGAAGUACGGUCGCAAGAUUGAAACUUAAAGGAAUUGGCGGGGGAGUACAGCAACGGGUGGAGCGUGCGGUUU
rnacentral:rRNA from 1 species